rnacentral:rRNA from 1 species
UUGCCCUAGUAACGGCGAGUGAAGCGGCAACAGCUCAAAUUUGAAAUCUGGCUUCGGCCCGAGUCUGUAAUUUGCAGAGGAAGCUUUAGGCGCGGCACCUCCUGAGUCCCCUGGAACGGGGCGCCACAGAGGGUGAGAGCCCCGUAUAGUUGGAUGCCUAGCCUGUGUAAAGCUCCUUCGACGAGUCGAGUAGUUUGGGAAUGCUGCUCAAAAUGGGAGGUAAAUUUCUUCUAAAGCUAAAUACCGGCCAGAGACCGAUAGCGCACAAGUAGAGUGAUCGAAAGAUGAAAAGCACUUUGAAAAGAGGGUUAAAUAGCACGUGAAAUUGUUGAAAGGGAAGCGCUUGUGACCAGACUUGCGCCGGGCUGAUCAUCCGGUGUUCUCACCGGUGCACUCUGCCCGGCUCAGGCCAGCAUCGGUUCUCGCGGGGGGAUAAAGGCCCUGGGAACGUAGCUCCUCCGGGAGUGUUAUAGCCCGGGGCGCAAUGCCCUCGCGGGGACCGAGGUUCGCGCUCUGCAAGGAUGCUGGCGUAAUGGUCAUCAGCGACCCGUCUUGAAACACGGACCAAGGAGUCAAGGUUUUGCGCGAGUGUUUGGGUGUAAAACCCGCACGCGUAAUGAAAGUGAACGUAGGUGAGAGCUUCGGCGCAUCAUCGACCGAUCCUGAUGUUCUCGGAUGGAUUUGAGUAGGAGCGUUAAGCCUUGGACCCGAAAGAUGGUGAACUAUGCUUGGAUAGGGUGAAGCCAGAGGAAACUCUGGUGGAGGCUCGCAGCGGUUCUGACGUGCAAAUCGAUCGUCAAAUCUGAGCAUGGGGGGCGAAAGACUAAUCGAACCAUCUAGUAGCUGGUUACCGCCGAAGU